rnacentral:lncRNA from 1 species
GGGGAAUUGCGAGGUCCGGAAUCCGGGGUCCGGGUAAUGGGCUUCUCUAGUAGGACCUGAAAGUCUCCCUCAUCUACGGGUGCGGCGUGAGGUGUCCUGAGCAAAAUCAUCAAUCAACAGCGCCAUAGCGUGAGCAGCAGCCCGGCGACCAUGGAACGCCCAGGAUUUGUUGAUCUUCAAUGCUGUGAAGGUGAACUUGGUUCAGGAGGAAUGUGAAUGGUUAGACCUUGCUCAAAGAGUUUUUACAAAGAACUCCUGUUGGAGAAGUGCAACAGUCUGGUUUCUCUAGGUCUCAUACUCCUCAGCCAGUCCUGCUCAUCUGUGAAGCAGAGCAAAGAGCCCUAGAUGGUGAACAGAGGAAACUGUAGCAAAGGAUGCAGCAUUCCUGGUUUGUAGAGAAGACACUUAUAAAACAUUGAUCACUACUAGGUUUGAAGACUUGUUCUAUUUCUAAGACCACAGUAGAACAUGCUACUUGAAUGUUGAGAAGAUUGGGCAGCUUCUGCUGUUGUGUUCAUGAUUCCCUGGAGACCUGCUAGGUGUUUUUGGUUUUCUGUGUUUUUCAUGGUUGCCUUUCACUAAUGUUCAACGUCACUGAAUGGUGGACACUAGAGCUUUCCU